CCCAAAGUCAGCGGUUUGGGCCUGCUGCUGUCAGGCCAUGGGUGUCUGCUGAGCUCCAAAGAGAAAGAGGUGGCCAGAGAAUCGAUUGCUACCUGCCCACCUGGGCUCAGAGGGCCAGCGGCAGCCCCUGAGAUCCCGCUGCUCCCAAUGUUGUCAAGCAGAUGAAGAUCAAGACAGCAGGGCCUUUGACCCGGAGGCUUGCAAGGAGUAGAAGCCCCUCUUCAUCCACAAUGCCAUCGACUUGCUGACCACAGCAUCUGGGCCCAGGCCACCCCUAACAUCAGCUUCCACCACUCCUACUGUGCCUACCACGCAGAGACCCAGGUGCAGCCCACCCUGGCGCCCCAGUGCCUGCCUCAAGCUCUACAAGGAUGACUGCAUGUCUCGAUGCCUGCCUGCACCUUUCUGCUUCUAUCUGCAACAACAUCUGGUUCACUAACUCCUCCUUCAUCCUUUUCCUGAACAGGAGCACCUGCUGGCCCAGGGAUCCAAGCGUCCCUCUCUGCAUCUGCCUCCUGAGGACCAGGCCCACAGCACCGACGAGGAGCCCCAGCGGCAGUUCAAGGCCCUGAGCCGCUAGAGGACCAAGGAGAGCUACUCCCUCCUCUCCUGUGCCACCCACACCCAUGACACCUAGUUUGUCCUUAAUGCAGUGACCAACGUCAUUGGAUGGAACAGUUCCAAGGACUUUGCUGAGGAGCCCGGCCCAGCCCGCUUGCCAGGAGUGAGACUCCUGCUAGAAAGGCCUAACCUGGGGCAGAAAAUGCAGUACCUGCAACCUCGAGCCUGAGAUCGGCUUGGAGCUGCUAUGACUCUUGGGAAGGCACAGCCCUCACUGUGGCCUGAGGAAGACCCUGCCGGGACCCUGCACUCUGGGCCUUCUCACCCCGGGGGCCCAAGGACACUGGCCAUGAAAGGACCUUGGCCUGGGACUGUGUGUGAAUAUGAACUCCUGCUGCUGAGAUGGGAGGCACCAUGGGAGCCCUUGCCAAAUCUCCUCUCUCACCCUUUGUUCAGUACCCAGAAGUCCAAGGUCAGUGAGAAUCACAGCCAAGGACUUGAAGAGAUGUACAGAGGAAAAGAGAGGAGUUGGUGACCGUACAAAAGUAAGAUUGUCUACUUUAAGAAAAUAAGGGGCUGGGGAUUUAGCUUAGUGGUUUCGCCACCUGCUGAGCAAGUGCAAGGACCCGAGUUCGAUCCCCAGUACCAAAAAAAAAAAAAAAGAAAGAAAAGAAAAUACCCUGAUUGGAGCAAAAACAAAAAGAAAUCAGUGGUUUAAAAUGACAAACAUUGAUAACCUCACAGUUCCUAUGAGUUGGGAGGGUAGGCCAGGUUAGCUGGGCCCUCUAGCUCAGAGUCCUUCACAGUUCAUGAGCCAGCUGGGGCUGUACUCACCUCAAAGUGGACUCUCUUCCAGGCUCAUUUAAGAGAUUAUUGGCAGGAUCCAGUUUCUCCCAGACUGCUGGAACAUGGGCCUCAGUUUCUUGCUGGCUGUUGGCCAGAGCUUCCAUGUUGGAUUCUCCAUAGUUUACCUCAUAAAAUGGCAGCUCACUUCCUCUCAAGUGAAUAAGCAAAAGAGCAAGAGAAGCAGGCAAGAUGGAAGCCAGAGUAACAUAAUCUCAGAAGUGAAUUACCACCACUUUUUGAUUAGUCAGAACAGAGGUCAGCAAACACAGUUAACAGGCCAUAUCUGGCCUGCCACUUGAUUUAUAAAUAAAGUAUCACUGGAACACACAGUGAUAAAGUUUA